rnacentral:rRNA from 1 species
GACGAACGCUGGCGGCGUGCUUAACACAUGCAAGUCGAACGGAAAGGCCCUGCUUUUGUGGGGUGCUCGAGUGGCGAACGGGUGAGUAACACGUGAGUAACCUGCCCUUGACUUUGGGAUAACUUCAGGAAACUGGGGCUAAUACCGGAUAGGAGCUCCUGCUGCAUGGUGGGGGUUGGAAAGUUUCGGCGGUUGGGGAUGGACUCGCGGCUUAUCAGCUUGUUGGUGGGGUAGUGGCUUACCAAGGCUUUGACGGGUAGCCGGCCUGAGAGGGUGACCGGCCAAAUGGGGAUGGGAGAACGCCCACACCCACUCCGGGGGGCAGCGGGGGGAAAUUUUGCAAAAGGGGGGGAAGCCUGAUGCACCAACGCCGCGGGGGGGAUGACGGCCUUCGGGUUGUAACCCGUUUUCGCCUGGGACGAAGCGUGAGGGGGGGAAAGGGGAAAAGAACCACCGGCUAACUACG